rnacentral:rRNA from 1 species
GGGUGAGUAAUGUCUGGGAAACUGCCCGAUGGAGGGGGAUAACUACUGGAAACGGUAGCUAAUACCGCAUAACGUCGCAAGACCAAAGAGGGGGACCUUCGGGCCUCUUGCCAUCGGAUGUGCCCAGAUGGGAUUAGCUAGUAGGUGGGGUAAUGGCUCACCUAGGCGACGAUCCCUAGCUGGUCUGAGAGGAUGACCAGCCACACUGGAACUGAGACACGGUCCAGACUCCUACGGGAGGCAGCAGUGGGGAAUAUUGCACAAUGGGCGCAAGCCUGAUGCAGCCAUGCCGCGUGUGUGAAGAAGGCCUUCGGGUUGUAAAGCACUUUCAGCGGGGAGGAAGGCGAUACGGUUAAUAACCGUGUUGAUUGACGUUACCCGCAGAAGAAGCACCGGCUAACUCCGUGCCAGCAGCCGCGGUAAUACGGAGGGUGCAAGCGUUAAUCGGAAUUACUGGGCGUAAAGCGCACGCAGGCGGUCUGUCAAGUCGGAUGUGAAAUCCCCGGGCUCAACCUGGGAACUGCAUUCGAAACUGGCAGGCUUGAGUCUUGUAGAGGGGGGUAGAAUUCCAGGUGUAGCGGUGAAAUGCGUAGAGAUCUGGAGGAAUACCGGUGGCGAA